rnacentral:misc_RNA from 1 species
GAUGAAGAACGUAGUAAAAUGCGAUAAGUAAUGUGAAUUGCAGAAUUCAGUGAAUCAUCGAAUCUUUGAACGCACAUUGCGCCCGCCAGUAUUCUGGCGGGCAUGCCUGUUCGAGCGUCAUUUCAACCCUCAAGCACAGCUUGGUGUUGGGACUCGCGUUAAUUCGCGUUCCUCAAAUUGAUUGGCGGUCACGUCGAGCUUCCAUAGCGUAGUAGUAAAACCCUCGUUACUGGUAAUCGUCGCGGCCACGCCGUUAAACCCCAACUUCUGAAUGUUGACCCCGGAUCAGGUAGGAAUACCCGCUGAACUUAAGCAUAUCAAUAAGCGGAGGA